CAGGGCAGCCCAAAAUGAUGGAGGCCGGGUGAGCAAGCGGCUGAGGUGCUGCAGGGAGCCUCGGAGGGGCGAAGCGGCGUGUCAAUGAGCGGUCCCAGAAGGAGCCGUGUGGCCACUGUUGGAACUGGAUACGCAUUUGAGGCGCCACAGGCGAUGACAGCCACGGUGUCUGUCUCUGGAAGGAGCAGCUGAUGAAGAGGAACCAAGUGACUGCAGGGCCGUCCUGGUUUGCCAAUGCGCGGCACGCAGGUUUUCU